rnacentral:ncRNA from 1 species
UAGAAACUGCCACCGGGUAGGAAUGUGAUAGAGCAUUCGCUGGCGCAUCGUUAGGUCUUGGAAGAUGCGCACGCGGGUGCUUUUUUGUU